rnacentral:misc_RNA from 1 species
CGUCCUCAUAAUUCCAUAUCUUUAUCCGCUCAUUUUCAUCAGCAGCAAUGACAAUAGGAGAGAAAGGCUGCAACAACGCUGCCUUUGUUCCUGUUUCAAACUUUGUGUCCCAACCAGCAAUUUGAUUAUUUAACCUGCUAAUAGAUGAGUGUUGACACUUGGCAAUGUGUUCCACUGCAAAUUUUUCCCUCCCUUCUCUUUUAAACAACAUUUCUUCAGCAUCAUCUGCUGUAGUAAGAAGUGGCUUUGAGAAGUGACCACAGCUCCAAUUAUAAAUAGUAGACUGCGGAAGUAAACUGCGCUCUGCAACCCCAGAAGAUCCAGCGGAACCUAAAAGAGGAUCAGCUAAUCCUGAAUCUGGUGAAUUCAUCAAAUGAGGCCUGAAUUCUAAAGAAUAGACUCUACGCAUUCCUGUUAAGUAACUUGGUCGAGGAGGACUGACAGGAGGAGUUCUGAAUGUUAAAGGCAGAUGACCUGCAUUCAUG